GGAUUUGUUCGACGCGACGAUUAUUACCUACUGAUGCUGAUGAUGAUUUAUGUGCUUGAGCUGAUAUUGCUACCUGAAUGAAGUUCUCUCCAUGCUCACUGGCGUCUACAACUGCUAUUCAAGACUGGUGUUGCUUUUAAUUUCUAUUCUUGUUGGUCCAAGUUGGAGCUUUCCUCUGAUAUAUGUAUACUCCAUCUUGAGGGGGAGUGUUAAGAUAUGUACCACGAUAGGGGGAGUGUCUCUAUUGUGAAUGAGUUCUACCUUC